rnacentral:rRNA from 1 species
UACGAAGGGGGCUAGCGUUGCUCGGAAUCACUGGGCGUAAAGCGCACGUAGGCGGAUUCUUAAGUCGGGGGUGAAAUCCUGGAGCUCAACUCCAGAACUGCCUUCGAUACUGGGAAUCUUGAGUCCGGAAGAGGUGAGUGGAACUGCGAGUGUAGAGGUGAAAUUCGUAGAUAUUCGCAAGAACACCGAUGGCGAAGGCAGCUCUCUGGGACGGUACUGACGCUGAGACGCGAAAGCGUGGGAGCGAACAGG